GGGAUAGACAAAAUGAUCGGGACAGGCAACAUUUUCACUUUUUAAAAAAUGUUCAACUAGCUAUACUGCCGUGAAUCGCAAGUCAGUCCCAUAUGUAAAAAGUAGGCAUUGAGAAAAUGGCCUCUGAAGUUUUCAAAUUCGAUUUCUAUACGAAACUCUAAAAAAUCGCUAUGAAUUGAAAACUUCUGCGAUCAUCAUGAAACUUUCACAUAAUGUUUCAAACGUUAAAACAUAACAGUGAAAAAUGUAAAACUAGCUAAAAUAGUGUUAGGUCUUGUACUGGAGGGCACACAAGUUCGUAAUGGGACUGACUUGCGAUUACAUUUCAUUAUGGGACAAUCUGACUUGGUGUUGUUUUUCAAUUUUACUGAACAAACUAUAUAUUUUUAUGCACGCAGCUGAAAGAUCAUCCGAAGAAA